CCUACGGGAGGCAGCAGUGAGGAAUAUUUGUCAAUGGCCGGAAGGCUGAACCAGCCAAGCCGCGUGAAGGACGAAGGUGCCAAGCAUUGUAAACUUCUUUUGUCAAGGGACAAAAUCAGGCUCGAGAGCCUGACCGAGGGUACUUGAAGAAAAAGCAUCGGCUAACUCCGUUCCAGCAGCCGCGGUAAUACGGGGGAUGCGAGGGUUAUCCGGAUUUAUGGGGGUAAAAGGGUGCGUAGGCGGGCUGUUGAGUCCGCGGUAAAAGCCCGGGGCUAAACCCCGGCGAGCCGUUGAAACUGGCUGUCUUGAGAUGUCGAGAGGUAUGCGGAAUGCGCAGUGUAGCGGUGAAAUGCUUAGAUAUUGCGCAGAACUCCGAUUGCGAAGGCAGCAUACCGGCGGCGAUCUGACGCUGAGGCACGAAAGCGUGGGUAUCGAACAGGAUUAGAUACCCUUGUAGUC
rnacentral:rRNA from 1 species